UACGGAGGGUGCAAGCGUUAUCCGGAUUCACUGGGUUUAAAGGGUGCGUAGGUGGGCUUGUAAGUCAGCGGUGAAAUCUCCGGGCUUAACCCGGAAACUGCCAUUGAUACUAUAAGUCUUGAAUUGUCUGGAGGUAAGCGGAAUAUGUCAUGUAGCGGUGAAAUGCUUAGAUAUGACAUAGAACACCAAUUGCGAAGGCAGCUUACUACGGAUUGAUUGACACUGAGGCACGAAAGCGUGGGGAUCAAACAGG
rnacentral:rRNA from 1 species